CUGAUGGGCAAAAACUCACAUUGGAACCAUCAAUGUCAACAGGUUACCAUGUCACCUGCUCACUGGGACAGAUUUACUUAGUAUAAAUAGCUUGUCUGCAGAAUGGACAACAGAAGAGAGAUAUGUCGCACGUGAGGGAAACAACUCUGUCUCUACAUCUUCUGAAGUUUCUGUCCUCCCAAACCUAGACUCUGGUCCACCAACUAAGUUUGCCAUUCAAAAGGAUCCAGGGUCAAAGAGAAAAAUCACAGUCCGUUUAGGUGUGCAUGUGGCACUCUUUGGUCCAAGAGAAUUUAUUGUCCCUGAGUUACUUCUUGCCCUAUACAAAGAGCCAGUUCUCUACAGUCUUGGAGAGAACAGAGGGGUGCUUUCCCUGCGAAUACUGGGAAUAAGAAAGAGUGACCUCUGACCACUGAGAUUGCAUCACAUCGUGGACUCUUCUGAACCUCUCCACCUGAAGAUGCAGACUUCCUUCAAUUCUUUAUUCUCUGUUGUCUUCUUGUUUAUUUAUAGUCUAUCUCUGUAGUGCUGUAAGAUUACUCUCAAAUUGGUUUAUUUGCCUGUUAUAUCAGAUGUAUUAAAAAUGAACUUCAUUAUGAUGAAA